rnacentral:misc_RNA from 1 species
AAGUCGUAACAAGGUUUCCGUAGGUAUGUAUCGAACGCCUUUCUCUCUUCAAAAAGCAAUACUAACAAGAAUAGGUGAACCUGCGGAAGGAUCAUUACGAGUUGUAUCUCUUCGGAGACGCUUCCACCCUUGACAAUUUACCUCUUGCUUGGCCUUUCGAGGCCAACAUUCUUUCUGAAGCAGUUGUCUGAAUCAGAUCAAUUAAAAAA